rnacentral:rRNA from 1 species
UACGGAGGAUCCGAGCGUUAUCCGGAUUUAUUGGGUUUAAAGGGUGCGCAGGCGGUCUGUUAAGUCAGCGGUCAAAGCCCGGGGCUCAACCCCGGGACUGCAUUUGGAACUGUGUAGCUGGAGUGUCGGAGAGGCAGGCGGAAUUCCUAGUGUAGCGGUGAAAUGCGUAGAUAUUAGGAGGAACACCAGUGGCGAAGGCGGCUUACUGGACUGUAAAUGACGCUGAGGCUCGAAAGCGUGGGGAGCAAACAGG